rnacentral:rRNA from 1 species
UGGGGAAUAUUGCACAAUGGGCGCAAGCCUGAUGCAGCCAUGCCGCGUGUGUGAAGAAGGCCUUCGGGUUGUAAAGCACUUUCAGCGGGGAGGAAGGCGUUAAGGUUAAUAACCUUGGCGAUUGACGUUACCCGCAGAAGAAGCACCGGCUAACUCCGUGCCAGCAGCCGCGGUAAUACGGAGGGUGCAAGCGUUAAUCGGAAUUACUGGGCGUAAAGCGCACGCAGGCGGUCUGUCAAGUCGGAUGUGAAAUCCCCGGGCUCAAACUGGGAACUGCAUUCGAAACUGGCAGGCUAGAGUCUUGUAGAGGGGGGUAGAAUUCCAGGUGUAGCGGUGAAAUGCGUAGAGAUCUGGGGGAAUACCGGUGGCGAAGGCGGCCCCCUGGACGAAGACUGACGCUCAGGUGCGAAAGCGUGGGGAGCAAACAGG